GUGGGGAAUCUUCCGCAAUGGACGAAAGUCUGACGGAGCGACGCCGCGUGAGUGAAGAAGGCCUUCGGGUCGUAAAGCUCUGUCAUCAGGGACGAACGGCCGGUGGAGUGGAAAGCCACCGGAUUGACGGUACCUGAGAAGGAAGCCACGGCUAACUACGUGCCAGCAGCCGCGGUAAUACGUAGGUGGCAAGCGUUGUCCGGAAUUAUUGGGCGUAAAGCGCGCGCAGGUGGGAUCUUAAGUCCAUUUUUAAAGUUCGGAGCUCAACUCCGUGAUGGGAUGGAAACUGGGAUUCUUGAGUACCGGAGAGGAAAGCGGAAUUCCUAGUGUAGCGGUGAAAUGCGUAGAUAUUAGGAGGAACACCAGUGGCGAAGGCGGCUUUCUGGACUGUAACUGACACUGAGGCUCGAAAGCCAGGGGAGCGAACGGGAUUAGAAACCCUAGUAGUCC
rnacentral:rRNA from 1 species